UAUUGUUUUGGUCAAGAUAGUAUAUGCUUCGUGGAACUGCAGGCUUUGUGCUGUUCCGAUUUAUGAGAUACGAAAAGCAGAACGCAAAAUGUGUUGCAAAAUUGUUGGAGAGAGAAUAGGAAACCUAAGAUACAUUGACAGUCUGGGAGUUAAGAACGCAUCGCAAAUUCGGUAGUACCACAACAGAAUGACUACAGGAGCGAAAUGUACACCUCGCCACUCUAAAUUGGGGCCCAGCUCAUUGCCAGACUGCAGAAGAACGUCUCUGUGAGAUAGGAUACCCUGGACCAUAUCUAAGCUCUUAUGGGGCGUGGUGGUUACAGAAACAUCCGCCAGCUUGUCACAAGCUUUUAACAUUGGUGACUGGGCUGAGGAUGCUGUUUUGAUCAAGACUGACCCACAUCUCAUUUUGGACAAUCCCUACACCUCUCCAAACUAGUACUCCAAAUGCUCCACAAAACACUGAGGCUUCAUCAUCAUGAAAGAUUGCCCAUCAGCUCUCGAACAUACUAGGUACUGUGGCGAAUAAGUUCCACUGCCAUCCUUGGCCUGAUGUUCCUUCCAUAGUGUGGCCAAGGAGGGGAACGAUUUGGGGUCGCACUUCUGUGCGUUGAAUUGAACUUGUGAUAGCUUAGAGACUAAUAGUGUUUCACCACCACCAACAAGAGAUGACGGACUGUGAUUCAUCGCGUGUCAUUCUCCCUGAUGCCACCCACUCAGACCAGGGGCACUACCCACAGGCGCCACCUAGCCACAGCAAAAGCAACCUGGUAGGACGGCCAUUGCCGGGAGCCCUGAUGCCGCAGGGGGAUGGGUAUAUACCCCUUGGCAUACGUUGGGAGUUACCGGUGCUGGCAUGAGCAGAGCGAUCCCUGUGCGGUCAGGGGGCUACAACCAACACGGUACAUGGCGCCCCCACCACAACGGACUGGCUAACGUGCUGGAUAUCAGGUGGAAAGAAAUCCAUGGUCAUCGUCGACACACAAAGUGACACAGCACAAUGCAUCCAGGAAGGUGUCGUCGCCCAAGAGAUAGGGAAUGAGCGGGACUGCGAUGCGACAAUGAGGAAGUGGGCUAAAGAUUUCAAUGCAUGAUGGACAUUAUGCACCAUGUAAGGCUCCCUUCCCCAGUUGGCUUGAUCUUCGGGAAAGUUUUGAAGAAGGGAGUUCAAAACCCUACAGGGGACCGUCACAAAGGCCGAAACAUGGGAAACUCCUUUUAAUCGCCUGUUAUGGCAGGCAGGAAUACCUAGGGCGUAUUCUUACCCCCGGAUGUGCAGGGGGAGAACCAUCAGUGAUUUCACCAUACAGGCAAAGCAGAGGUGACUGAUGUGAAUCUACUACUUACUAUCUAAACAUUUUGGGGAGGGCUAGAAGAGCAUAUAAGAUAUAGAUUUCUGUGCGAACUUCAUUGGUGCAGUUCCUAUUGUAACUGCCAAUGAGGAAGAGGUUUGUACAUCAGCUUGUGGUUGUUUGAAUGGAGCACGAAAACCUUACCAGAUAUUAAGAGAAACCAAAAGAAUGGCCAUUCUCAAGAUUCUAUAAAUCAAAAUAUUUACCAGAAAGACAUACUGAGUUUGAUAUGAAAUGAUUUAUUGUGUAAUAAAAAUGUUUUCAAAGACAAAUGGCACCAAAAAGGACAUCAUUAACACUACUAUUCUACAAUAGUAACAAAAAUAAAUACUUAGUUAUGUAUUUGCCUCA